AUUGAACGCUGGCGGCAGGCCUAACACAUGCAAGUCGAGCGAGCGGCGGACGGGUGAGUAAUGUAUGGGGUCUGCCCGAUAGAGGGGGAUAACUACUGGAAACGGUAGCUAAUACCGCAUACUAUCGGAUAACCCAUAUGGGAUUAGCUAGUAGGUGAGGUAAUGGCUCACCUAGGCGCCGAUCCCUAGCUGGUCUGAGAGGAUGAUCAGCCACACGUGAAGGGAGACAGGGCCCAGACUCCACCGGAGGCAGCAGUGGGGAAUAUUGCACAAUGGGCGCAAGCCUGAGGCAGCCAUGCCGCGUGUAUGAAGAAGGCCCUAGGGUUGUAAAGUACUUGCAGUCGGGAGGCGUUACCGACAGAAGAAGCACCGGCUAACUCCGUGCCAGCAGCCGCGGUAAUAC
rnacentral:rRNA from 1 species